rnacentral:rRNA from 1 species
GACGAACGCUGGCGGCGUGCUUAACACAUGCAAGUCGAACGGAAAGGCCCUGCUUUUGUGGGGUGCUCGAGUGGCGAACGGGUGAGUAACACGUGAGUAACCUGCCCUUGACUUUGGGAUAACUUCAGGAAACUGGGGCUAAUACCGGAUAGGAGCUCCUGCUGCAUGGUGGGGGUUGGAAAGUUUCGGCGGUUGGGGAUGGACUCGCGGCUUAUCAGCUUGUUGGUGGGGUGGUGGCUUACCAAGGCUUUGACGGGUAGCCGGUCUGAGAGGGUGACCGGCCACAUUGGGAAUGAGAUACGGCCCAGACUCCUACGGGAGGCAGCAGUGGGGAAUAUUGCACAAUGGGCGGAAGCCUGAUGCAGCAACGCCGCGUGCGGGAUGACGGCCUUCGGGUUGUAAACCGCUUUCGCCUGUGACGAAGCGUGAGUGACGGUAAUGGGUAAAGAAGCACCGGCUAACUACGUG